UAGCGGAGCCCGGCGUCGGCUGAUAGCUCGCCGCUGCCAGCUAGCAGUGCGACGGCCGGGGCGACGCGCGACACAUGGCCAAAGGCAAAGGAGGCGGAGGCGGAGGGAAAGGGGGCGGCGAAGAUAAGAAAGCCGCUGGCGGAGGUGCCAAGGGCGGCGAAAAGGGCGGCAAGGGCGGCGGAGAAAAGCCAGCUGGCAAGAAGGGAGGGAAGAAGUGAUGGCAAGAUCAGAUCAGAAGAAUGUCUUCCUCUGAAGAUGACGCUUAUAAGGCGUACAGGAUGUUGGGAAUCUUCAAGCCGAAAAUUUUUAUUCUAAAUGCAAACCAGCUUCUUUUUACAGAUGUCUAGGGCGUAAAGUUUGUUUCAAUGUAACCUCUAUAUUAAUUUAGUCCACCGACACUAAUAACUACAUAGCAAAUACAGGGCACCAGUAGGUACUCAGUUAUUUUUUUACUUUAAACUUAGUAUGUUCUCACGUUAUUGUCUCUGAGUUUCAGUAAACCGAAGUCUGUAGAAGCUAAUGUGUCACUUCCUACAGAAUUUUCUUGAAUAAAUUUGUUAGCAACUGAAAAAUAAAUAUUCCAGCAAUUUUCUUCAAAUCUCA